rnacentral:tRNA from 1 species
CGACGUGGAGCUCGGCAGCAGAGCACCGGGCUGUCAACCCGGAGGGCGCGGGUGCAGGUCCCGCCGCGUCGG